GAUGAACGCUGGCGGCGUGCCUUAUACAUGCAAGUCAUACGGCCCAGCCUUUUCUGAAUUUUAUAACGCGUGUCAUUUUAUAUUGAGUACACUCAAUAAAGUGGCGUAUUGAAAGUUCAAAUAGAAUUUAGAAAGGGCUGGGCAGUGGCGAACGGCUGAGUAACACGUGGGAACUUCCUUUAAGUUUGGAAUAACCAUCCGAAAGGAUGGCUAAUACCAGAUGUGCUCGCAAGAGUAAAGUCCGCCUUUGGCGGACGCUUAAAGCAAGGCCUGCGCACCAUCAGGUAGUUGGCGAGGUAAAAGCUCACCAAGCCUAAGACGGUUAGAGGGCCCGAGAGGGUGUACCUCCAGACGGGGACUGCGACACGGCCCCGACUCCUACGGGAGGCAGCAGUAGGGAAUUUUGGACAAUGGGCGAAAGCCUGAUCCAGCGACGCCGCGUGCGGGAUGAAGGCCUUCGGGUCGUAAACCGCUUUUGUUGGGGAAGAAUUUUUGACUGUACCCGACGAAUAAGAGGUUGCUAACUCCUGUGCC
rnacentral:rRNA from 1 species